ACAUGGAUCACCCACAUCAAGCCUCGCCCACGGCUUCCCCUUCCCGCUCCAAUGCAACAAACUAACCGGGCCCGGAUGCAACGACCUACAACUAUGAACCCUAUUAUUCCCACCAAGCCCAUGCUGGUUCCACCGGUGAUCAAUCUCCGCCACAUCACCACCAAACACCAACAAAAACGGCGGUAGCGACCCCAAUUCGUAUAUCCUUUCAAUCUUCUGAACCUCCAUCCAUUUCUCAAUUCUAGUUCUGUAACCCUCUCUCCUCCACCUCACCAAAUCCAUCACCAUCACGCCCGUGUUAAAAUAACACGGCCUCUUCCCUUCAAACACACCCGACAAAUCCGGAUCAUACCAAAACCUAUCCGUAAAAUAACCCGUAAAAUUCACAUGACAAUAAACCGGAGCCCCGAUGACCAUUGACCUGGUCAACGAAGUCAACGACACCGACCAAAGCUUUAUUACAUCAUCAACAACUAUAACAUCCGAAUCCAAAUAAAUCACCCGGGUCACACUCGGGUCAAGUAUAUCACCCAAAUAAUUUCGCGCGUAAUUCAACGGGUCUUCAAGUGCUUCACGAACCGACCCGGAUAUCAAUCCCUUCACGACCCGAUCAUCGAACCGGUAAACCGUGAAACCCAGAAACGGAAAUACGGAUCUGACAAUUCGGGUCAAGUCUUCGGGUUUAGGCGAUUUCGAUUCGGAUGCGAUGAAAUGGAACUACUGAUCCUCUCAAGUAGUUGAAAUCAAGCGUCAUGGAUACGUGGAUCAUGACCCAACCCGAACAUUGAUACCCGUUUCGGUACUCCGGUGCUUCGAUGUAAUCGGUGAUCGGUGAUUCAGGAACUGUACGGAUUGCACUUGCGUAGAGGAGACACAGUAGAGAAAUUAUUAGAACAAAAGCUGGAACAGAUUGAUACCGAAGCAUAUCAUAAAAGUUUAAAAGGUUUUGUUGAGGAUGAUGAACUAUGAAGAGGGUCUGUGUAUGUAAUAUAUCAUAUGUAUAUUGAAAGUGGGAACGUGGUUGGUUUGGGAUGUGGAGGGGUGAAAUGGGAAAUGUUGGAUAGUUGAAGGCUUGGUUUGAAAAUUGGGAAUUUUAAAGUUGGUGAGGAUUCGAGUAUAUUUUUCUUAACAACCAACGAAUUUUUCAAAUGCGCUAUUGGUGAAAUUCACCACUUCGGAAUACACUUUAUCUUCGAAUCGGGGAAAACCCUUACCUAGGGCCGAAGCCCGUGAAUACUCGCUCGAAGGCACGACAGUGUGGUGAGGUAAAACCCGCUCAGUUUAAGGAUCGAACUAACGAUCUCCGCCUACUCGCUUAGUCUCCCAUCAUCACCAAGUGACACAUAAAAUAAUAGGGAGAAUAAUAGAGAGAGCAAGAAUCGAACUUAGAUCCCUUAAAAUACCAAAUCUCUCUCAAACCACUUCACCACCACCAAAUUGGCUCAUGUUAGGUUGAUUGUAUAAUUGAAGGCCUCAUGUAACCACGUGCCUUGUUGUGGAUGUGUUUAUGUUAUUCAAGGAACAAAAUAAUGUGUAGAUGACAAUAAUGAUUGGUACAUGAUGAAUGAUUGGUGUU
rnacentral:lncRNA from 1 species